CGCUUCUCUGCUUUCAGUUCAUCUUCUACUCUUUCAGCAUUUUCAGCAGCAGUUUUGUAUCGGGCUACCUGACCUUCCAGUCGUAUUACGUUCUGCUCCAGUGCUGUUAUCUCUUGCUCAGACUUUGCUAGUUUAAAUUUGAGAUCACUGAUUUGUCUGUUGGCAUCUCUUUGGAGGUCAAUCAUGUGCAUGUCUGUCCCAUUUUCCAGAACUUCAACCUCAGACUGUGCGUUCUCCAACUUGCCAUUCUUCUGCUUUUCUUCCAGUUGUCCCUUUAACUUUUUCACCUGGUCUAGUAAGGACUCUCGUUCGCCAAUGAGUUUUUUCAGCCUUUCUAGCAUCCCAUCCCCCGCUGUCUUUAAUGCCUGUGUUGUGCCUUGAACAGUUUUGGAAGAAUCCAAGUGUCCUUCAUUAUCAAGAACGUCUGAUGCCUCCCCAUUGGUGGCUAUGUCAGAGUCUGGGAUUAUUCCAUGUUUCUUCAGUUGCUCCUUCAGCAUAAUCACUUCAUCUCUAAGGUCAUCCC
rnacentral:lncRNA from 1 species